rnacentral:tRNA from 1 species
GGAGGUAUGGCUCAAGUGUUAUAGCACAAGCCUAGUAAGCACAAAGCCUUGAGUUCAAACCCCAAUACCACCA